GUCCUUGUCGAUUAGUGGUUAAAUCAUCUCGUUGUGGCGCGUCGCUCCGAGAAGCCGGAGGCUCGAAUCCUCCCAGGGACA
rnacentral:tRNA from 1 species